UACCGAGUGCGAGCCCUCUGGGCUCAACCUCCCACCCGUGCCGUUAUCAUACCUGUUGCUUUGGCGGGCCCACCGGGGUCACCUGGUCGCCGGGGGACGUCUGUCCCCGGGCCCGCGCCCGCCGAAGCACCCCCUGAACUCUGAAGAAGAUAGCGCUGUCUGAGUACCUAGAAAAUUGUCAAAACUUUCAACAAUGGAUCUCUUGGUUCCGGCAUCGAUGAAGAACGCAGCGAAAUGCGAUAAGUAAUGUGAAUUGCAGAAUUCCGUGAAUCAUCGAAUCUUUGAACGCACAUUGCGCCCCCUGGCAUUCCGGGGGGCAUGCCUGUCCGAGCGUCAUUUCUGCCCUCAAGCACGGCUUGUGUGUUGGGUGUGGUCCCCCCGGGGACCUGCCCCAAAGGCAGCGGCGACGCCCGUCGGGUCCUCGAGCGCAUGGGGCUUUGUCACUGGCUCGGGAGGGACCUGCGAAGGUUGGUCACCACCUGAAACUUUUUACGG
rnacentral:misc_RNA from 1 species